rnacentral:rRNA from 1 species
AUUGAACGCUGGCGGCAGGCCUAACACAUGCAAGUCGAACGAGUGGCGGACGGGUGAGAAAUGUCUGGGAAACUGCCUGGUGGAGGGGGAUCACUAGUGGACACGGUAUCUAAUACCGUAUACCCUCAUGUGUGCACAGAUGGGAUUGGCUAGGUGGGGGGGUAACGGCUCACCAAGGCGACGAUCCCUCGCUGGUCUGAGAGGAUGACCAGCCACACUGGAACUGAGACACGGUCCAGACUCCUACGGGAGGCAGCAGUGGGGAAUAUUGCACAAUGGGCGCAAGCCUGAUGCAGCCAUGCCGCGUGUAUGAAGAAGGCCUUCGGGUUGUAAAGUACUUUCAGCGGGGAGGCGUUACCCGCAGAAGAAGCACCGGCUAACUCCGUGCCAGCAGCCGCGGUAAUAC